CUUAAUAUGAAUUUAUUCCCCCUAGUUGACGUUACACUAUCGCACGUCGUAUGGAAAAAUUCGUCCAAUUCGUGCUCGCGAAUAAAUUAAUCCUGAAGGGAUUAGAUAUCUGAGGUGCAAUAAAAUAUAAUUUCUAUUAAAGUAGCCGAGUCUAUUUGAACAACCACAGGUCCAGAAAUUAGAAAUAAUUUAGUUUGUUCCAUAGCAAAAUUCGAAAACAGAAGUUUGAAUGAUAUCGUGUAUUGAAUGCGGAUCAAUUCUAAUUGCCUUUUUGAAUUGAAUGAAGGGAAGUAAUAGCUAGAUCAGGGAUAGAAAUGUAAUCGAAUUAAUUAAGCAUUAGAAAUAUUGUCUUUAAAUGCAGCUGUUUUGAACGUAUAUGAAAGUAGGCAAAUUUCAUAUUGAAUUUAUCUAUCCUUUGAUGAUUAAAAAAUAAAUUAUCCUUUUCAUAAAACUUAAACAGUAGGUACAGCUUUAAGGCAAAUGAGGUUGUUCCAUUCGAGAGCAAUAUUUUAAAAGUAACCGCGGGAUAAUCUUUGUAAUUCCUAGUCUUCCAAAAUUUAAAAUUAAACACUAAAUUACUAGCUGGCCAUUCGUAUAUUUUUAAACUUUAGGAAAGCUAAGAUGCAUUGAAAUCUGAAUAUUUGGUAUUUUGAUUGAAUACGGAAGUAACAAUCUCUGAAUAUUUUAUAUAAGUAGCUUUCAAGUGACGAAGUGCCAUAUUAUGUGGAUUUUAUUUGGUAUGGUCUAAUGAUAUAGGAAAGAGCCAUAGCGAUUGCUUUCUUGUGCCGUUUCUGAAAAUAUGCAGAAUGAAUAUUUAAUUUGAUAAGUUUAUAGAGUUAAAAUAACCUUAGAGAUCCUUUAACUGCCUCACUCAUACCAGGAAGUUUGUUUUGAAUUCAUCAGAUUUUUCACUCAUUUAAAAGAAACUCAACCUCGCAGAAAUUAUCAACGAAACGAAUCCUGCAGUUAUUAGAGCAGCUCUCUGCAGACUAUUCAGAUGUUUGUUAGAGCAAACAACGCCUUUACUCAUAUGAGGAAUGACUGCCUUCUGGGCUCUUCGCAUAAAUUGUGUUGAUAGCAGCCAUCUGGAUGGCCAGGGGAGUCUCUCGGUUUCGCAAAGAAGUAAUAUCGUUUUUCAUAGGGUGGACAACUUGCCUGUGUUCAUGCCGUUUUGUUUUACAAAAGCAUGAUGUCAAUCGCCAUUACUGUUUUCUCAGUUCCAUGUACAUGCUAUCCAUCUGCACCAUUGCUGUAUGCGAGGAAGUAUUCUCUUAAGAUGACAUCCAUGUACAAGAAAUUCAAGGGCACAAUGUUGAAAGGUUUUGAAGCAAGUGAUAACGGCACGACAGAUAAUAUGGAGCUUCAACAACCGCAUAUUAGAAUUUAGAUCCUAUGGAAUCCGACAAACAAACCAACGAUUUAUUGGAUGAUUUAUAAAGCCUGAAAUAUUAGACUAAGUUUAAUGUAUCAAAUUUGUACCCAAAAAAAUUACUGGAACUUUGAUGACCUGCACAGUGGAUUGAUGGUGAAAGAAAUGUUUAAUCCCUGGAUAUUCCAGGAAAGUGGCUUCUGAGUGACGAGUCUGAAUUGCGUUACUUUCUGUCUGAGGUAGGGGAAAAACUAUGGCCAUUAUUUCUUGCGCUGUUUUCAAGAGAUGAACAGAAAAAGAGUGAGAAUUUGUUUUUAGAGUAAUAGUAGCAAGAAAUAUGGAGAUAUCAACUUAAAUUACUUUACUUAUACCUGAAAGUAUCCUGACGGAAUUCUUCGUGUUUACUCAUGAUGGAACGUCUUGUGAAUAGAAAGAGACAAUCUCCUGCAAUUGAUAUUGGAGCAGCACAUUCUACAAAGAAUAAAUUAGAGGCUACUUAAUCGAACAAAGACUUUAUACCACUCCUCAUCAGUGCAGUAAAUACCAUCUCGGCUCGAGCCGUAAAAUCUAAAUAUGAGAUGCCUGGAUUGGCGGAAAAAAUGGUACUGAAGUGAUAUCGGUAAGCUGCAAGAAUUCAUAACUGUCAAAUCGAAUUGAAAAUUGUAUCCAAACACUUUAUGUUGAAAUAAUUAGACCUAUAAAAAUUAUUAGAUCUAUUAGACCUAUAAAAAUGUUCUUAUUUCAUUGGGUAGUCAUAGGUCAGACAACUUACGACCAUUAUGCAUGCAUUUUUUCUUGGAUAAAAGUGUGCCGUCACCAUCAGUAAUACGGCUUUCUUGGUUCCAUAUACAAGCCAUCAAUACUCGCCACUUUCCUUAAGAUGUCAAUGUCUUAACCCAAGUGAUCACGGCACAAGAUACCAUUUGGAGCCAUCAACAUUGGAAUUCAGAGCCUUUUCAAUGGAACUAUGAAUGGAGAUCCAAUUUAUGCAGUUGAGUUUGUAAAAUUCAUUUUGGCUUCGCCUAAAUUUAUAUUAGUGUCAAAAAAUGAAUACAUAAAUGGUCUGCACAGUGGAAAUGUGAUUAUGUAUGCAGUCAAUAUUACUUGGACAUCAAUACGUCUUUCGAAAUAUUUUAUUCUGUAACAAAAUACUGAAUAUUUAAUU